CAGGCUCACAAAUAAUCUAAGUAGGAUCUAGAAUUGCUAGGAUUUACGAAAUACCGGCUUUCGAGUGAGUUCUUUAGUCUCCACCCGAAGAUGAUUAUCACAGUUGAGUGUGGGCAAAUGUAGAGGACCCUAGCAAGGGCAGGACCCGCAGCCCCUGUUCCGGCAGCUGGAGUGGGGCCAGAGCGGAGGUGGUGUCAGAGCGGAAAUCGAACCCGGAGCAGGGGUUCAGCUUGGGGCUGUGGGGAAUUUGCGAGGUGGGUCCGCUCCUGGCCGGCGGGAGAGGAGUCCGGAGGUGGCUGGAGCCAGGGCUGGGAAGAGAGAAGGCGCACCACUGAGCUGCCAGACGCACGGAUCGCGGGCGGGGACCCGGGCGAGCCUGGGAUCGCGGCUCUCGGAAGCGACAGAAGUGCCGAAGUCGCGGUCUGCGUCCUUGCGCGGGAGUCUCGGGGCGAUGAGAGUGCGCGUCAAGGUAAACGCUGGUCCCGCCACUGUGUGCUCCCGCGGCUCACUCGGCGCGGCCCGGACCCGCAGCCACAACUCCCGCGCCCUGGCCCAGCUUCAAGGCUGGCACCCCGCGCGACAGGGAGUUUUGGGGGCUUGGAAAGGAGGGCGCCCCCGGCUACUGGGAGAGCUCUGGCUAUGCUUGGGAAAGGAGAGAGCUUGUGGAAUUUAGGGGCGAGGCUGGUCUCCUUUAGGCAGCCAAACCUUAAACUGGCUACCACUUACCUAUUUUUCUGGACUUCCACACAUUGUGUAUGAAAUGCGAAGUACCAUUAUUAAGCACGUUGUGUUCAGACGUAGUACAGGAUGCUUGCCAAAUGUUAGCUCAUUUCAGCCAGGUCUGGUUGAUAAGAGCAUUUUCUCUGGAGCUAGAUAGCCUGAAUUAGCAUCUCAGGUGUACCACUACCAGUGACCUUGGGUAAGUUAGUUCACCUCUGUGGGCAGGUUCCUCAUCUGGAAAAUGGGAGAAUACUACUUGUAAUUUAAAGAUUUAGUGGGACCUUAUAUGCCAUAUGCUCUUAGAAUAAUACCUAAUAUAUUCUGCAGGUUGUAAGAGAUUGUGAUUUGUAACUAUUUCAUGCUGAAAUAAUCCCAUAAAGUCUAAGCAUAAUCACUCCCCCAUUUCUACUAAUUUUCUAGUCAAAAUAUGAGGCUGGGACUGAGACUGUAGCUCAGUGGCAGAGUACUUGCCUAGUAUGUGUGGGGCACUGGGUUUGAUCCUUAGCACGGCAGAAAAGUAAACAAAUAAAGGCAUGCUGUCCAUACACAACUACCGAAAAAAAUCUUUAAAAAAUGAGGCUGUGUGAGAAAAGUAGAAUUGAGAUAUGAACCUGGGUCAGUGGCCUAAAACACUGAGAACAUGGAUAUUCUAGCUGCACACAUGAUUGUGGUUUGUUCUAGGAAAGAGUUGUGAAUUACCCUUAACUGCCAAAGUAAGAAAUGGGUUCUUCAACUACUUUCCAUCUGUAUACAGAUUUUGAUAUGUCAUUUUGACAUCCCUUUGGAUUUUGCCAUGACUGAUAAAGUAUUAGAAUAUUUUGGCUAGACUGGAAUCGGGGGCUUGACUGUAAGAAUCUGGCUGCUUAGUUAGCUUGUUUCCUAGAGUACAAACAUCAUAUAAGCAGUCUCUCUCUCCUGGUUUAAAAUGAAAAUCAUUAGCUUUUGCUCCACUAGACCCAUACCCCUAAGAUAUAGAAGUAGAGCUUCUGAAUGGACAAAAUAAAAUGUGAUAUAUUAGAAAUAUAUACAUAAAUAAAAUAUUAUUCAGUCUUAAAAAGGGUGGAAAUAGUUGGAUACUGUGAUGCAUGUCUGUCAUCCCAGAAACUCAGGUGGCUGAGGAAGGAGGGGUGCAAGUUUGAGGCCAGCUUCAGCAAUUUAGUGAGACACUCAAAGUAAAAAUAAAAUAAGGGCUGGGGAUGUAGCUCAGCAGUAGAGCAUCUCUGGAUUCUAUCCUGAAUAUAGAUCAAUUAAAAAAAAAGGGCAAAGGAAACUCUGACAUAUAAUAUGGAUGAACCUUGAAGUUCAAUAAGCCAGUUGCAAAAAGACAAAUAUUUCAUGAUUCCCCUUGUAAGCCAUCUAAAGAAGUAAAGUUUAUAGAAACAAAGUAGAAUGGCAAUUGCCAUGGUUUAAAAGAGGGGAAUAGGGAAAUUGUUAAUGGGUACAGAAUAUUAGUUUUUUUAAACUUAUAAUUACUAAUGCAUAUUAACUGUACAAAUAAAUGGGUUUCACUGGGACUUUUUCACGCAUGCUAUGCAAGUGCUCCAUCACUGAGCCACAUCCAUAGUCCUGCAUAUAUUUAGUGUGCUAUGCUCUUGUCCACUCUCCCUUCUGCCAUCUUUCGUUUUUGCAGUGCUGAGGAUCCAAUCUAGGGCCUUGCACAUAUAUUCUACCACUGAGCUAUGUAUGCCUCCAGAUCCUGGACUUUCAGUUUUGCAAGAUGAAAGAUUUCUGGAGAUUGGUUGUACAAUAAUGUACAAUUGGUUGUACAAUAAUGUACUUAACACUAUGGAACUGUACACUUAAAAAUGGUUAGGAUAUGGGGCCUGGUGGUGCAUGUCUGUAAUCCCAGUGGCUUGGGAGGUUUGCAGGUUCAAAGACAGCCUCAGCAAUUUAGCAAAGCUGUAAGAAACCUAAUGAGACCGCAUCUCAAAAAAUAAAAAGGGAUGGGAUAUAGCUUAGUGGCUAAGUACCCUCGGGGGUUCAAUGCCUGAUACAAAAAAAAAAAAAAGUUAAAUGUGCCUUUUUACUUAUGUGUUAUUUAUUUAUUUUAGUUCUGGGAAUUGAACUCAGAUGCUAACCACUGAGCCACAUCCCCAGACCUUUUUAUUUAUUUUUAUUUUGAGACAGGUCUGAUGCUGAAGGUCUUGACAAGGUUGCUUGCAAUGCCCCUAUCUCAACCUCUCAAAUUGCUAGGAUUACAGGUGUGUGACACCAUGCCUGGCAAAUGUUAUAUAUAUUUCUACCAUAACUUAAAACAAAACAAAGGAAGAUUCUCACACAAAUUUCUUCAUAAUGGGAUUUGUUUUCUACUUCUUUCAAAAUAAUGUUCUUUUUUUGUGUGCGUGGAACUGGGGAUUGAGUCCCAGGACUCUUGCAUGCCAGGCAAGCACUCUACUGCUGAGCUGCAUUUCCAGACUUUGAGUUUGGUAAUUGAAUCGACUUUCAGCUGAGUCUUAACUUUUGACUGGAACCCACAGGUUUUCCAGGGUAUCAGGAGGGCAGGGCAAUGGAGUACCCUUGAAAACUUUUUUCUGUUUGACUUGGCACCAGAGUAUUUUUUAGUCCCCUUGUUUGGGGUAGCCCAGCGUCACUUCCCCUUGCUCUUAAUGAGAGUUGGCAUUUCCUUAUCUCUGAAGAAGGGGUUCUUUGGUUAUUUAUAUUACAGGAAAACUCUGAGAAUAUUUGAGUGUCACAACCAGUUUCAAGCAGUGGGAGGUAGUAGAAUUGCAUAUCAUAUGAUUUACCCAUUAGUGUAUUAACAGUUGAACAGCCAUCAUCACAAUUUAAAAAUAUUUAUCAUCCCCCAAAGAAAUACUACAUCCCAUAGCCAUCACACUCUAGUCCUUCCAUCCAUACCACCCUGGAAACCACUAAUCUUUUUGUCUCUGUAGAUUUGCCUAUACUGGGCAUUUUACAUAAAUGGAUGCAUACUGCUUGUGGUUGUUUGUGACUGGCUUAUUUCCCUUGCCAUUAAUGUGUCAAGUUUCAUAUUGUAGCAUAUCGGGUACUUCUUCUUUGUAUUGCUAACGCUAUUCCAUGGAUGCAUGGAUGUAUCAUAAUUUAUUUGCCUGUUAGUCAUUUGAUGGAUAUUUCAGCUGUUUUACUUUUUUUGGGCUAUUAUGAAUAAUGCUGCUAUGAACUUUUGUGAACAAGUGUUUGUGUGAAUUUAGGUUUUCAUUUCUCUUUGGUAGAUCCUUAAGAGUGGAAAUGCUGGACGGUAUGGAAAAUCUGUUUGGAUUUUUUUGUUUGUUUGUUUGUUGGGUACUGGGGAUUAGCCCAGGAGUGCUUUACCACUGAAGUACAUCCUCAGCCCUUUUAAUUUUUUCUUUUGAGACAGGGUCUUGCUAAGUUGCUUAGGGCCUCGCUAAGUUGCUGGGGCUGACUUUGAAGUUGUGAACUUCCUGCCUCAGGUUCCCAAAUUGCUGGGAUUAUAGGUGUGUACCACCAUGCGUGGCUUUUGUUUAGAUUUUUUGAGGUACUUCCCCAAAGCAUUUAUUGUACCAUUUUUACAUUUCCACCAGCAAUCUAUGAUAGUUUCAAUUUCUCCCCAUCUUUUGUAUUGUCGAAUUUCCUUUUAUUACAGUCAGGCUAGUGGAUAUAAAGAGGAAACUUGUGGUUUUGAUUUGUAUUUUCCUAAGGUCUAAUGGAUUUGAGCAUCUUUUCAUGUGCUUAUUGGCCAUUUGUAAUCUUCUUUGGAAAACUAUUUAGGUCUUUUGGGUAGAAUUUAUUUUUGAUCCAGCUCUUAAGAUAUUUUUCCUGAAAAAUGACAUCCACACAAAAGUCAGUAUAUAAUAUCUUAGGGUUCAUGACUCCCCUGAUAAUACUGUGAGUCUGACUUCUAGAGAGAACAUAGCAGGGUCUUUCCUCAAAAUUUUACCUGCUUGAUUUUACUCAUUACUACUAUCAGGGAUCUUAGUGGACUUGUGUGAUAAUGAUUCAGGAAGAUAAUUUGCAAACCCUAAGACAUUACUUUUAAGACAAAAUUCUUGACACUAAGGGUUCUCUGAAAUAAGGGGUUCAGUGAGCUGUUACAAAUGCUAGUCAGAAAAGGACCCACCCAGUCCUGGAACAAUUCUGCAACUAUCAGCAGUUGGAAAUAUGUCUAUUGGAGCUAAGAGUCAAGAGCAUUUUUAUAACAAAUGUGGGGAGAGUAUAAACUGUGUUCACUGAACCUACAUUGGCUGUAAAUAAGAGGGGCAGAAUUUGGGGAGGGGACGACAGUCCAUAAGAAGUACUUAUUACUUCUGGACUGGUUGGGGUUAGUAAUCCAGAUGUUCCUAUGUAAGAAUGGGUAGUGGCACCUGGAAUCAGCUGCCUAAGGUCUAAGUUAUGGUUAUAUUAUACAUUAAAAGAGGAAACAGUUUUUGCUGUUGAUGAUGAUGAUCUUGGCCCAUAGCUUUAACUGAUUAAUUUACCUUAUUUUCCUGCGCCCAUUCUCUGGCCCUUAUGAUUAAAUUUAAGACAUCAGAGAAUGAAUUAAUCUUUCUUUCUUUCUUUCUUUCUUUCUUUCUUUCUUUCUUUCUUUCUUUCUUUCUUUCUUUCUUUCUUUCUUUCUCUCUCUCUCUCCCCCUCCCUCCCUCCCUCCCUCUCUUUUUCUCUUUCUUUCUUAUUUUACUACUUCAGGGAUUGAUGUAGCCCGAGAAUUUUUGUUUUGUUUUAUUUCCAGUUGGGGCCUUGCUAUGUUACUCAGGCUGGCUCAGAAUUCCUGGGCUCAAGUGAUCCUCUUGCCUCAGCCUCCCAAGUAGCUGGGACUGCAGGUGUGCAUCACUGUCCCUGACUUGGUAUUGACACAAGUUCUGCAGAUAUCUGAUGGUGAAGUGGUUACUGAGGGCACAGACAUAAGUCAGACUUCCUGGGUAUGAAUCUUAGUAUUACUCCCCCCGCCCCCAGUAAGGAAGAUUGAACCCAGUGGUGCUCUACCACUGAGCUACAUCCCCAGCCCUUUUUAUUUAUCUUGAGACAGGGUCUCACUAAAUUUCUCAGGCUGUCUUUAAACUUGUGAUCUUUCUGUCUCACCUUCCUAAGUCACUGGGAUUACAAACACGUGCCACCACACCCAGCCCCCAGUGUCACUUUAAUAAGCUGAUGUGUCUCUGGGGCAGUUUAUCCUCUCUUUAGACUCAAUGUUCUUUUUCAUACCUUGGAGAUAAUAAUUUAACCCAGCUUCUCUUGGGCAGAUUAAGUAAGUUAAUAAACAAAAUGCUUUGUAUUGUGCAGGUGGGCACACAGAGAGUAUGGAAUAUAUGGAAUAAAUUGUUAGCCUGUUGUUAGUAUUUAUCCUGCAGACUAGGUUGACCUGUGAAUAUAAAACAUCUUCCUCUUCCUGGAGGAAGCAGAUCUCCUCCAUUGAUCUUUUAAGGACCAAGAAAUUUUUGUCAAUUGAAACUUGUAAACUCCUCAGGAAAACCAGUUUUCUUCUCAGAUGGGUUUAAUCCACAGAGUACUUUACAGAUCCUUGGCCUGUAUCAGUUAAUCCUCUCCAACUUCUGUUAACACUGUCAGUAUCUGCUUCAGGGGGAUUUUAAAGUAAAACAAACCAAACAACAAUCUUCAACCUAUAUGAACUAGAAAAACUCAAUCUUCAGAGCAGGCAGCUUUGCUGUUUGGCCCAAGGAAAGGCAUGUAAAUAUUUUUGGAUUAAAUUAGAAAAGAGGGUCCAAAACAUUUUUUUCUUUUAAGUUUUUGUUUUUGUUUUGUUCACUGUGGUGAGCGUUGAAUCCAGAGCCUUGCCUAUGUUAGGUGAGCACGCUAUCAUUGAGCUAUUUCUCCAGCUACCUUGCUUUUAAAAUGUAUUCAUUUAUUGUUAUUAUUGUUGUUGUUGUUACUGAAGACUGGAUGCAGAGGCACUUUUCCACUGAGCUACAUCACCAGCCCUUUUUAUUUUAUUUUGAGACAGGGUCUAACUGGCUCUGUCCUUGUCCCCAAUGCCAAUCCAAUAAUGAGGACGCAGUUUUGAGAAAAAAAGAAAAAGAAAUUUUAUUAUUUUGCUAGCAAAGGAGAAAUACAGGGGACUCCUGUCCCAGAGGCUGUGAUUCUGCCCAUCAGGGGAAUAGGGGGUUUUAAAAGAGUUGAUUCAGAAGAAUCCUGUUUCCAGAGAUUAGGGAGGAGAGAUUAGGAAGGCCAGGGAAGAAAAGAUCAGGGAGGAGAGGAUCAGGGAGGAGAAAAAACAUGUCAAUGUGAGAGCAGCAAGGGACAUAUUCAAAGCAUAAGGUGGAUCACCAUUACACUGCCUCAGUCUCCCAAGGGGCUGGGAUUACAAGGCAUGGGCCACUCUACCCGGCCUUUCCUUUAAAAAAAAGACAGUUUUCUCUAAGUGGCCCAGGCUGGCCUCGACUUUGUGGGCUCAAAAAAUCCUCCUGCCUCAGCCUCUGUAGUGGCUGGGACUACAGAUGUUCUCCACUGCACUUGGCUCCAAGGAUCCAAAAUCAUAAAAUUUAAAACUUUGCCAGGUGAGGUAGUGUACCUAUAAUUCUAGCUACUCAGGAUGCUGAGUCAGGAGGAUUCUCAAUUCAAAGCCAGUUUCAGCAACUAGGUAAGGUCCUGUCUCAAAAAAAAAAAAAAAAAAAAAACCUUUCUAAAAUUUUAGGAUAAACUUUGGAAAGCAAAAAGAAGGAGUUGUAAAUUGGCAUUAGACUUUAUAGACUGGACUUUUUUUUACAUUUUUUUAGGUGUCAAUGGAUCUUUUAUUUUAUUUAUUUAUAUGUGGUGCUGAGGGUUGAAUCCAGGGCCUCACACAUGCAGGUAAGCGCUGUACCACUAAGCCACAACUCCAGCCCUAUAGAUUGAAUCUUAAUUUCUACAGGAAACAAAGAGGCAAGCUACUUGGGUUUGAGUUUCUCAAGCUACUUAUAGUUACUUCUCCAGCUACCUUGCUUUUAAAAAUUUAUUCAUUUAUUGUUAUUAUUGUUGUUGUUGUUUGGUACAUUCCCAAACAUGUUUGAGUUGCUCAGCCUCCUUAUAGUUACUUUCCGCAAAUGGGAAAGCAUUUUGGAGAAGAAGCUCUUAUCCUGGAGACAUUUAGAAGAAAUUGCAUCUUGCUGGUGGGCACUUGGAUUUAACAACCAGCCAGCUGAAGAAGCAGGGUUGACAGGUGAAGAACCAGGAGCUCUGCAUUCGGAGGGAGCCCUCCAAGGCCUUUUCUCUGAGGGUCCUGUUACUGUGAGUGUCUCUUUAAGGGCAGAUCUGGGGUAAGGUCCAGGAGGAGCUGUUACUGAGAGGUUCUGGAAUCCUGUGUUUAAUAAGUGGAGGCACUGUGGCAACAACGCUCCCCUCUCCUUCCUGAGUGGCAAGCAAAGUUCAGUCAGUCUCUAAACAGCAGCACUGGGACUUUGAAUAUCAAGAGUAAUAGCAAGAAACAGAAGUUGGGAAACUUUAGCCUAGCAGAUAAUAUUUCAUAUCUGCCAACCUCUGUUACUCACAGGAUUCUUGGUGUCCCACUGACAGAUUUCUGAGUCUCAACUUUCUGGACCACAAAUAUCUUCCUGUUGUGUGUGAUGUUGGGAAACUGAGGCAGGAAAUCACAAGUUCAAGGUCAGUCAAGCAAUUUAGUGAGGCCUUAAGCAAUUUAGUGAGGCCCUUUCUAAAAAAAAAAAAAAAAAAAGGAGGGGACCGGGGGGUAUGGUUUGGUUAAGCAGCCCUGGGUUUAAUCCCCAGUAAUAUAAAAACAUCUUCCUCUUAGAAUUUGGGGGGAAUUAAUUAUUCUGGAUGUGAGAUUUCUUUUUCCUGAAUAUCAAGUGACUGACUUGAACCCUACUCUAAAUCUUUAAUUUAGAUUUGACAGGAUAAAAAUUGUAAAGAUUUUUUUCAAGAGCUUUUACCUUAAUCUCAGAGCUGGGGUAUAGCUCAAUGGUUGACCUCAUAUUCAUCAGGUCCAAUGCCUGGGUUGAAUCCCUAACACCAAAAUAGAAAACAAAACAGAACAAAACAAAAAACAAAUUAACAUCUCAAAGAUUUCUGUUAAAAUAAGUUAAAUAUUUUAAAGAGCAAGUUAAUUUUUAAUUUUUGUAUUUUAAGAUAAAAUUCUCAAAUUUUAAGAUUAAAAAAAAAAACCCCUAAGAUAAUAAGCAGGGAGCUGGGAGUGGUGGGGCAUGCCUGUAAUCCCAGCAGCUGGUGAGGCUAAGGCAGGAGUAUCUCAAGUUCAAAGCUUGUCUCAGCAACUUAGCAAGACCUUAUCUGUAAAUAAAAUAUAAAAAGGACUGGAGAUGUGGCUCAGUACCAAAAUAAUAAUAAUGAUGAUAAUAAUAAUAAUAAUAAUAAUAAUAAUAAUAGACAGGAAGAAUUGUUACUUGAAAAUUGGUGGAAAUCUCUUGGCAAAAGAUUCUCCCACAGUUGUAUGUUGUGGAAUCAAGUCUAUGAUACCCUCUUAGAAAAUUCUUGGACAAUAGAUUUAGAGGAGUCACAGAGAGUUUAUCCCUGCUGGAGAGUCACAGUACUUGCACAUAUUUGUAUGGCCACAGAACAUUUUCUUUUUCUCCUGUGUAAUUCUUUUGUUUGGCAGGAUAUGUUUUUGGAAGCACUGGGAAAACACUUGUAUACCACAAUGUCUUCAGGGGCACAGAGUGUAGUGGGUCUAAAGAGAUCAUAUCAAUGUAAGGAAAGUAAGGAAUGAAGGAAAUAAAAGGAGUCAACAAUAAUAAGGAAAUAAAAGUGUCAACAGUAAGUGACACAGGUAAGUUACCGACAGACCUGGGGAGCGAGACCCAGAGGACUGAGACCUGUCUUCUGCUUAAGGUAGAUAGAGGAGAGGGAGGAGAUUUUUGCAGUUAAGCCAUUGCUAGAAGGGUUAUUAAAGAAGGGUUCUUGUGGUGUUGCCUUCAGGUGUUUUCAGUCCCAGGUAACAAUUUCCUUUUCUGUGAUGAUAGAGCGUUUGGAGUUUCUUAGCAUGAUGAUCGAGUAUUGAUGGGGUUUAGGUCAGGCUGAGUCAGAGUGACCAUGAAGUGAUCCUUGGUCGAUGGGUGUGUUUCAAAAUGGCGCUGCCCUGUCAAGUUCUUUCUAAGAGUCAAUGCAUGGGCUAGGCACAGACAUCUGAGAGGGUAUGUGGAAGGGGAACUUGAUUCAGAUCUGGGAGUUUCCAGAAAGGUCUUCUAGAAGACAUGAUGUCUAAAUUGGUGGAGAGAGAAAGGGAGUGUAGAGUAUAUUAGAGAGAAUAGCAUGUAGAGAACACCUGGAGGUAAAUUCAGACACUUCCAAGUUGUUUAGUAGUUAUAGAAUGUAGAGAUUGAAGCAGGGAGGAGGAAGGUAAAGGCCAGAGAGCAUAGGCAGUGGACUAUGAACCUGUGGAGGUCUUUUAGGGUUUACCUUGAAGACAAUGGCCAACCAUUGGGAGGUUUUAGGUGAGAAUGACUUAUUUACUUUACUUAUUUACUACAAGAAGAUUACAGGGUUUAUUGCAGAGAAUGGAUUGAAGAAGAAAAAGCUGGAGGCAGAAAGGCCUGGGAGACAAUUUAGGCAAGAGUUUAUGGUGACUAACUAGAGUAGUAAUGACACGAACUAGGAUAGUGGCAAUCAAGAUACAGAGACAAGGGCAGAUAGAGGAGAUAUUUUAGAGGUGGAAUCAGUAGUCCUUGGUGGUUGAUUGAAUGGGAAGAAUAGGGAGGAAUUAAGAGUGAUGCCCUGUUUUCUAACUUGGACACUGAGUAUACUGAGUAUACUGAGGAGCCCUUAGGGAGUACAGGAGGGGUAGAAGGUCUUGGUGGGGGAAAUGAUAGGUUAAAUUAGCAAUAAAAGCUUUUGUUCCUUGGUACCUAAUCAGCUAAGUUGCAUACAAAUGAGCAGACUGCCCAUCGCCGCAGCUCAGUGGUAGACUGCUCCUAGGUUCAAUUAUCAGUACUGCAAAUAACUAAAUGUGGUAUUAUAACAAUUAAAAAAUGAUAAUUUUGGGCCCGGUGGCACAUGCCUGUAAUCCCAGUGGCUCAGGAGGCUGAAACAGGAGAAUUGUAAGUUCAAAGCCAGCCUCAGCUAACUCAGUGAGACCCUUUCUCUAAAUAAAAUACAAAAUAGGGCUGAGGAUGUGGCUCAGUGGCUGAGUGCCCCUGAGUUCAGUAAAUGAUAAUUUUGUUUUGUUCAUGUAGUAAUUAGGUAACACAGUUGUAAAAGUGUGUUGUUACUCAAAGUGAUCGUGACUAUUAUUACUAUUUUUAAAGGAAGUGGAGUGCCCAUUCCUUAGUGCAGCUAAAGGAAUGUUCAAGAAAAUUUAUAGCUGAACAGUUGGAAAUUACUUACCAGGGAGAACAAGAUUUCUCCAUUUUGCUGAGAGAGAUUAUCCAGAGGCCAGAGAUGAAAGCAAAUGUAUCUUAUUAUUUUUUUUUACAUUGACCCUGUCUCAAAAUAAAAAUAAAAAGCUCAGUGGUAAAGUGCCCCUGGAUUUAAUCGCCAAUAUCUAAAUAAAUAAAUAUACAAAUAAAAAUAAUUUUACUUUUAUUUGUAUAUUUACCCCCAAUUCUUAUUCCCUUAGUCUAGAUGUCUGCAGACAUGAAUAUUAUGAGGAACAUGCUUUGAGGUUCACCCAUCAGGGAAAUCCUUUGACUAUUGUAUUGAAGAAGUAUUGUAUUCCCCAUAGGAUGUCCAAUGGGAUACCAUUAGUAUUCCCCAUCUAUAUUAAAUUUGGUGAUACUUAAUUGAGAAAGCAUUUCAUAUGCUCUUAUGAUCUAUAGAACAUACUCUGGAAAGUGCAUAACUGUGUUAUGGUACUGCUAGGAGCUGGUUCAAAAAGAGUUGGAAUGUGCAUGUGCGUCUCCCACCUUCUUUUCUCUCUCUGGGUAAGAGGUAAAAGGCAACCUUCAGAGAUAAAUGGGCUGCGACUUUCUGUAGAAUAUAGUUUCUAGGGUCUUGGGCAAAAUUACCAAGUACAAAUAUUGUCAGUAUCAGAAGAGGAAGAAUUUUCAAGUCUGAACCCUUCUUCUUUUUGUAAAAUAUAUAUUUUUUAGUUGUUGAUGGACCUUACACGUAUUUAUAUGUGGUGCUGAGAAUCGAACCUAGUGCCUCACACGUGCUAGGCAAGCACUUUACCACUGAGCCACAACCCCAGCCCCUGAACCCUUCUUCUUGAUGGUCCAUGCCAUCUCUUCACACCCACCCACCCAACCCCACACCAAGAUCUCUUAAGCCAUUUUCAUUCUCUCUUUAUCUUCACCUCUCUCUUCAUUGACUUCUCCUUUGUCUGUGAGUACGGUCUUACUUUUCUUCACAUAAAAUAAACUUCCUCUCAACUUCACCUGUAAAACAUGGUAUAAAAGACUUCUAAUAUUGGUAUUAGAAUCUGCUCCUAUGUACAAGGGAAUAAAUGUUAUUAGUCAUACAAUUAUGAAUAUUACUUUAGCUACAGCACACAAGAAAUUUAGCACAGCCUUUGGCAUAUAAAAGGCUUUGUAAACGCUGAUUUUGCUUUAUAAUGUUGAUUUAGUGGGUAUUGUUUUUAAUAUUGCUUCUCCCAACAGUGUCUUUCACCAUCUUCCUGCCUCUUCUCUUUCACAACCCAGAUCCUGGAUCUCUCCCAUUUGGUUUGUUCAUCACUGACAAAAUUACCACCAUCUUUACUUUCUUUGCAGUAUUAAUCACAGAAGAAGUAUUUCUUUGAAAUUUCCUACUUUUGUAUGAUACAUACAUUUUUCUUGAAGAGAGGCCUCUUUUCCUAUUUCAGCAUCACGGCUAAUAACUCUGUUCUUUAGUCCCUGGACUGUUCUGCACCUUUAGGCUUAGAUGUUUCCUGAAGUACCUGACUCUUUCAUCUUCUCUAUUCUCUGCUUCUCAGUUUCCAAAAGGCUUUUAUCAUCACCUUAACAAGGAUGCUCCUGAACUCUCCAGGCCGAAACCUCUGUGUUUCUAACUAAUGUGGAAUUCCAUCAUCCCCGCUCUUGUCUUUCAAGGAUUUUCCUGUAUCCCAUGUCUUGCAUGAAGGCUUCACAUGUGUCUGCAGAAGGCAGAAAGGAUUCUCUUUCUACAGAUUUUUUCCCCCACAUUUUUUAUUGGGGAAUUAUCGUUGUCUUUCUACAGAGUCUCAUGGCCUAUGCUUGUGCCAUAUAUUACUUAAGCCCUUUCAUGGUAUCUACUUGUAGACAGAAGUUCUUCUGUUCUGGUUUGAGUAUUUGGACAUUACUUUAUUUAUUUACUUACUUAUUUACUUGCAGUGAUGGAGACUGAACCCAGGACCACCUUACACUUGCAAGGCGACACUCUGCCACUGAGUUAUGCCCAACCCUUAUUUAUUUUAUUUAUGACAAUAAUUUGAGUUAUCAAAGUAUUUUUUGAUGAAUGAUUAAAGCUCUUGUUCUUAUAGUUAUCAAUGUUUUUGUUUUUUGGUGAUACUGGGGAUUGAACCCAGGGGUCUCUACUGUUGAGCUAUAUCCCUUUUUAAAAAAAAAUAUUUAUUUUUUAGUUCUAGGUAGACACAAUAUCUUCAUUUUAUUUUUAUGUGGUGCUGAGGAUCCAACCCAGUGCCUCACACAUGCUAGGCGAGCACUUUACCUCUGAGCCACAACCCCAGCCUUGGGAUGUCAUUUUAAUGACAUCUUUAGGAGGACGGGUGUGAUAUGCUCUGAAGUCAUCUGUAAGGUUAAAAAUAAUGUGCAUUCAAAAUGAUCCUUGAAAAGCUCUUUGCCCAUAAAGUACAGUAAGCACUUGAUGAUUUUCAUUGGGAACUACUUUUCCCUCUAUGUUGGAACUUUUUUUUCAUUGAGACCAGAUUGAACAGGUGAUCAUGAAGUACCAGAAUCUAUUCACUUCGCAGACUAAGACAUGCUCUCAUGUGAGAAUUGAGGCCAACUAGGGAAUGAUGGAUUCUCUUCUCCUUCCUCACCUCACCUUAGGCCUGUAUGUCGUCACUUGCUGGUAGUAUCUCUCCAUGUGUGGUUCAAGGACUCCUGAAAGUCCCUGAAACUCUUUCAAUGGUCCUAAAAGUCAAAAUGACUUUCAUAAUGGUACUGAUAUGAGAUCUGCCCUUUAAUUCAUUCUUUCAUGAAGGUACUUUUUCUAAGAUUCAAUGAUGAAUCCAAAAAAUUCUAAAAAGUUCAUUAAAAUGCUUUCUUUGGGGCUGGGGUUGUGGCUCAGUGGUAAACACUUUCUUAACACGUGUGAGGCACUGGGUUCAAACCUCAUCACCACAUAAAAUAAAUAAAUAAAAUAAAGGUAUUGUGUCCAUCUACAACUUAAAAAAUUAAAAAACCCCAAACCUUUCUGUGUCCAACUACAUGUCUAUGUGAGGCCAAUUUUCUUAUAUACUUCAACCCAAACUAUUCAAAAAUAGACUGAAUGCAGAAGCAAAUAUGAAGACCUAGCUGUCCUAUUCCAGAAAUGAGAGAUUUUCAGAAUUACAGGACAAGGCCCUUCUCCCCUACUCCUGCCCCCCACUUCCUUUUCACCCUCUCUUCCUCCAUCUUCUUUACUGAGGGUUAAAUCCCGAAGUGUUCUACCAUUUAGCUAGUUUCCUAGUCCUUUGUAUUUAUUUAUUUUUACUUCUGAGAUAGGAUCUCACUAAUUUGUUGAGACUGGCCUUGAUCUUGCAAUCCUCCUGCCUCAUCCUCACAAAGAGGACUACAGGAGUGCCGCUGUACCCUGCAAGAAAAUGCUCUUCUAAACUUUAAAUGUUUUUUUUUUCUUAAAAAUGUUAUUUAUGUUAACGUGUUUUAGACUAAUCAUUAUUUUUUUUAAAUGAACCAGUUAAUAAAUACUUUUAAAGUCCCAAUUUUAAUUUCUAAUAUGGAAAAUACUGGUAGACUCAAUUCGAAGUUUUUUGGGGGUUGUUGGUAAUUUUUAUAAGUAUGAAGUAAUCCUAAGUCUAAAACAUUUGAGAACUGCUGCUCUUGGGGAUAAGAGACACUGGAAUGUGGAAUGGUCACUAAAUUGCCCACAAUGUUAAAAUUAUUUCUGCCUCACACUUCACCUUCUAGCUCUCUCUCACAUUCUUUCAGCAAAAAUUUUGGAAUUGUCUAAUUAAAUAUGUGGUAUGUGUACCCACCAAUUUUUUUUUUUUUUUUUUGUCUCUGCCAAAGUUGAAGAAGUAAAAUCCUGUUCUCUUUCUGCUGUACUACACUGAAAAAAAAAAAAAUAAGACAAUCUCCAUUUUUGCCAUGGGGGUCAUAAAUAGCUUUUAAACUAUUUAGGCUUUACUGUCCCAGAUGAUGAUAAAUUUCUUAAAAAUCAAUUAUUUAAAAGUAUAGGUUAACUAGUAACUCCAAGAAAAGUUUGUUGUUGUUGUUGUUUUUGUUUUAUUAGAUUACACAGAUCAUUCAGAUGUAGUCCUAGUCAAGUUCUGGAUAAUUUAAUAAGCUACUCUGAAAUAAAUACUAUGUGUGUGGGAUGGGAAUGUGUACCUCAGGUCAGUGGUAGGACACUUGCCUAGCAUGUGGCAUGGUUUUGAUCUCCAGCAAAAUACACACACACACACACACACACACAACACACACACAAAUAAAUAAAAAGUAAGUAAAGACCAUCUAUGUAUGUACAUAAUAAAUUUGUGGGUAUUUUGCUGCUCGGAAAUCAGAAAGGAUUGAGUUCAUUAAAUUGGGAAAUCUUAGCAGAUUAAAGUGGUUAUAUAACAACUAGGCCCGACAUUUGGUUUAAGCUUUGUAUUUUUUUAUUCAGGGACAGUUGUAAAGAACAGUAAUAAAAGAAUCUUCCAUUUCCUCUGUAUUCCUUAUCAAAAUGAUUUAACAUGACCUGAAGUGAAAAAUGCUUUAUUUGUGUAUUUUACUCCCCAGGAGACUGGGUAGCCCUGACGCAUGUAUGACACUUGAGGAAAAGGAGAUCUUUCACUGCUGUUUUGAAACUGGGUUUUUGGACUGAAAUAAUGAGGGAUUUAGUUCAUGGAGAGAGGAAGGAAGGGGUGUGACAUCACUUUGGUUUGUACCUUUAUGAUCCACUCUGUUGGGAGGGUCACUGUUGAAUUCCUCUAAUUCCCCAGUUGGCUCUGUGGAGAAUUCAUAAAUGCUUUCUACUCAUUUACUCAUGAGUUUAUAUGAUCUGGAAACUCAUUCUAAGGUGCUAAAUACCUUUGUCCAAGAAGGCAGUACAGGAAAGUGUUAGUAAAAUCUCUCACCUCUGUAGGAGAAGUGGCAUUUUGGAGAAUUGUGGUUUAUUUAGUUGACAUCAUAUUUUUAGAGGUUUUCCUUUAAAAAAGAAAAUUACUAACAACAAAAGAAUGUUCACCUUUUAUUACCAAAAAGGAAAAAAAAGAUGUAAGAUUAUUCUGUGGUCUCUUUCAAAGUAUACUGCUAAAUGCUGCCCUCUGGAAAGAGUAUUUAGUGAACUGGGUGGCACAUAACUAUAAUUCUAGCAAUGAGGAGGCUGAGGCAGGAGAAUAGCAAGUUGAAGGCCAGCCUCAGCAACUUAGCAAGACACUGUCUUAACAUUAAAAAACUGAUGGGGGGGGGCGGUUUGCUGAGAAUGUACCUCAGUGGUAGAACACCUCUGGGUUAAAUCUCUGAAAGCACCAACAUAAAAAAAUAAAAAAUAAAUUUUUAAAAAAAUUAUUUAAAGGAAAAUCAACAUACCUCAUGGUAAUGUUGGUGCAACAGGCCUUUAAUUUCUGGAUACGUUGGGUUUGGAUGCUGUUUUUCUGAGUGUUCCUCUUGGAUCCAGUGAGUGAAAUGAGGCAUCCCUGCAGAGUUCAAACAAAAUUCAGGACAGGGCUCUGAGCUGAUGCUUCUGGUGAACCAGCCAGCUUUGCACUGAUACUUUUCCUAAGCCAAAAGAUUGUUCGUGCACCUGCAAGUCCAUUUGCCUGGCACUCAGUCUGAAGGGGUCUUGCUCCAAGGAAGGAGCUCUGUGGAGAAUAUAGCAAACAUCACUCUGGAGUCUGAAAAUCUUCCUUCUUCAUUUAACCUAUUCUAUUGAUUCCCCAAAGACUGCAGAUUCCAAGAUAAAUAAAGCAAUGCCUCUUUUGAUGUAAAUUGUAAUAAGGUUAAUAAGUAAAGAUAGCAGACCAAGUACAGUCAAACUUCAGUACUGUCAUAUGUGAAUAGAACCGGUGGCAUCAAAAUAGGAGCAAGUCAUUAGUUCAUCCAAAAAGUAUUUAUUAGAUGUUGGAUUUUAUUUUAUAACUUUAUUUUGUUUAUUUAGUUAUUUAUGUGGUGCUGGAGAUCAACCCAGUACCUCAUACUGCAAGACAAGUGCUCUAUGACUGAGCCACAACCCUAGCCCAGAUGUUAGCUAUUUGAGGGUACAACCUCCACUCUUUUUUAAAACAGAAAAGAAAUGACCUGUUACCUGUCCCUUCUUAUGCCCAAUCGUACCGCACUAUGGAAUCAAAACAAAUAAAAUAAUUUUCUGAAAGCUAAGGAAUCUCUAAGAUUAUACCUGCUCAGAGAUUUCCCUGAGAAAAUGGUCUGGAAACCCUCAAAAAUUGUAGAGUAGAUAUGCUGUCAGGGAGGGGCUGAGGCUGGGGCACUUACCUGGAAUGGGUGAGGGCCUGGGUUUGAUCCCUCAGCACCACAAAGCAAAAAAAAAAAAAAAAAAAAUACUGUCAGUUAGGGAAGUGUUAUUUUAUGUACAGCUGCUGUUGGAGGACCAGUCUUUGGAACAAUUCUUUCUAAUUCCUGGCCCUCACCUGAGGCCUAAGAUUGAAUGUAAAAUCGGAUUGUAUUUUAGGGUAAAGCAAACUGAAGUCAACACUAUUUUUAUUUCUCCCUUUUCCUCCCCCAAGUAACAAUAAUUACAAAACAAACAAAAUACACCCCUUCUGUGAAGGCUGCCACAGUGGCCACAGAAAUGGCAUAGUCCCCACUGUUAACUACUAUUGUGUCAAUGGUUUACUACUCCAUCAGAAGAAGCUAGCCCAUUGGGCAUUUGUCCCAUCCAUAUUUGGGCUACUACAUCAGAACCAGCAAACCUUGACCAUGGGGUCUCUCCAGGGUGUGUUGGAGAGCAUAUUGAAAAUGAGACCAUUAUGAAAGCAGAAAAGAAUAAAGUUUUAAAGUAAGAAUUAUUUGAAAUACUUGAAAAUCAAGACUGCUUUUCUCUUGCCAUAAUUUUGAGCUAAGAUAUGGGAGUUUAGGAAAACCAAUUCUAUGUUCUUUUUAUGCGUGUGCUUCCUUGUUUACACCUGUGGAGGAAAAUUCUACAAAGUGUACCUGAAGUGUGUUUUAAGUGUGUUCAUUUUGUUGCCCAUUCAGAAAGCACUGGGUUGAGCCCUGGGGCAACAGAAAUGACUGGCACUGGGACUAUGGGAGCUAUCAUAAAAGUAGGCCAUAAAGGACACUAAAUUGUAUUAUGAGUGGUCCUGUGAGGAAGAUUUAAAAGUCAGGAUGUAUUUUCUGUGGGAAAAAAAAUACAUUAAAUUUAAAUUCUCAGGCUACCAACCAAAAGCUGAGUUUUACCUUUGAUUUGACUAAAAAUAUAUAACAUGGAAUUUAAAAUAUUUUCAUAUUAGAUAAAGGCCAAGCUUAUUGGUUGUUGGAGUUCUGUGGUAGAACCAAUGUCAUCUGCCUCUAGACUUUCAAUCCAGCUAAUGAAGGAGGUUGGCUAUGACUUGCAUUUUGUGGAAUGGGACAGAUUUUAUUACAAAGGAAGAAAGAAUUCCAGUGAACCACUUCGAUUUUGGGACGGUUAAGGGCUGUGUAACAUGAGGCAAUACUGCCAAGGUAAACUAGGUUUAUGGACUAUGUAUAGAAUCUUGCCAAGAUGGCAUCUCUCCUCUGGCACUUUUUAUUGCUCCCUGUGAAAUCUUAGGCAAAGGAAAAGGUUUUAUGAGUGAGAUUUUUGAAGUUUUGAGAGCUAGGUAUUUAUGCCACAGGAGUAUGGUGCAAGAUAUGAAAGUGAUUUUUAGCUGACUUAAGAGAACCCAUCAGUUAUGUAUUUAUUAGGAUACAUGUUGCUCAAAGUGAGAUAAUGGAUGAAUUGUAUUUUUGUGUUCACAUUUGGCUUAUUUAUGUAGUAGAAAUCAGCUUUGGUUGAUCUUAGCAUUUUAGUGAGUAGCCAUGAUAACGAAACAUUAUCUUGGUUAACUGAACUACCGUGGUUAUGCUUCUAACUUAGACACUUUCUGUUCAGUCCCAGAAAUCCUGGAUCGAAGGAGUGUUUGACAAGAGAGAAUGCAAC
rnacentral:lncRNA from 1 species